rnacentral:sRNA from 1 species
UUUUAGCCCCGAUAGCAGCGGCAUCCUUUUGGGGUGGGGUUCAGCCCAAAAGAUACAGCGGAUAGCGGGAAUAGCU